ACACCUCAACUCUCAUGGUUUGCCAUGAUGAGCUUGGACUUUGGGGGUCUUGCCGGCCCACGGUCGGCUCCCCUUAAAUGAAUCAGCUUGCCAGUGUUUGGUGGGAUCACAGGUGUGAUAACUAUCUACGCUUGUGGCUUUCCGUCAAGUAACCUUCGGUGAUGGAGGUUCGCCGGAGCUUAUAAAUGUCUCUCCUCAGUGAGGACGCAUUCUGACC
rnacentral:misc_RNA from 1 species